GAGCCUUCUUAUGACUGAGCAUGAAGGCAAAGGUAUGUGUAUAUUAGUUAGGAUUAUUUUUCUAGUUUUGUAGGUUUUAUUUUCUGGAUAUCAACAGCUCAAGGUAUUCUUCUUCUCUUCAAUAUUAUUUUCUCUACUGUCUUUCAUUAUAGCUUUCUUGUAUCUAUUACAUUGAGGACAAUGCAAUGUUUAAGUUGGGGGGAGGGAAGUAU
rnacentral:lncRNA from 1 species